GUUCGAUUCUCCCAGGAUACCCGGGGAGGGACGGGGGGCCCCGGAGGGGGGUGUGUGGCCUCGGGCGACCCUCCUCCGCCCCCGCACCCCUUCCCUCGCUGGGAUGAGCCCCUCGCUGUGACCCCCGCGGGGGCAGGGCGCUGGGGGUCCAUGCUCGCAGCCCGCCCGCCGCCCGGCGCCUGCCACUGACGGCGGGGUGGGGUGGGGGGUCGGGCCCCCCAGCCCCCUGCCCACCCCCCGGCCAGGCUCCGGAAGCACCCGGGAGCUGCCGCCGGCGUCGGCUCAUGGCCCGGAGGUGCGAGGAGCUGUCCCAUUACCCGGCGGACGGCGCUGCAGCCCUGGCUGGCUUCUCCGAGGCCCUGCCCUUGGCACCCAGAGCCCCGGGGCCCUACGGCCCCCACCGGCACCCCCAGCCCGCACCCCAGGGCCUGGACAGCGACGGCCUGAAGAGGGAGAAGGAUGAGAUCUACGGACACCCCCUGUUUCCCCUGCUGGCCCUGGUCUUUGAGAAAUGUGAGUUAGCCACGUGCUCACCCCGGGACGGGGCCGGGACCAGGCCGGGCAGCCCCCCGGGCGGUGACGUCUGCUCUUCCGAUUCCUUCACCGAGGACAUCGCUGCCUUCGCCAAGCAGGUCCGCUCCGAGAGGCCCCUCUUCUCCUCCAACCCCGAGCUGGACAACCUGAUGAUACAGGCCAUUCAAGUGCUCCGGUUCCACCUGCUGGAGCUGGAGAAGGUCCACGACCUGUGCGACAACUUCUGUCACCGCUACAUCACCUGCCUCAAGGGAAAGAUGCCCAUCGACCUGGUCAUUGAGGACCGCGAUGGCAGCUGCAGGGAGGACCUCGAGGACUUCCCGGCAUCCUGCCCCAGCCUCCCCGACCAGAAUAAUUCAUGGAUUAGAGACCACGAGGACAGCACUUCCAUAUAUUUGGGGACCCCAGGUCCAUCCAGUGGGGGCCUGGCCUCCCAGAGUGGGGACAACUCCAGCGACCAAGGAGAUGGGCUGGACACCAGUGUGGCCUCUCCCAGUUCUGGGGGGGAGGACGAGGAGUUGGACCAGGAGCGGCGGCGGAACAAGAAGAGGGGCAUCUUCCCCAAGGUGGCCACCAACAUCAUGAGGGCCUGGCUGUUCCAGCACCUCUCGCACCCGUACCCCUCGGAAGAGCAGAAGAAGCAGUUGGCUCAGGACACGGGGCUCACCAUCCUGCAAGUCAACAACUGGUUCAUUAACGCCCGGAGACGCAUCGUGCAGCCGAUGAUUGAUCAAUCCAACCGCACAGCCUGUACCCCUCCACCCCCUUCACAGGGCAAGGUGCAGCCUUCAGCCCAGAGGGCCAGCCCUUGGGGGGCUAUACAGAGACUCAGUCGCAUAUGGCUGCCAGGCCGCCAGGAUCGAUGGGGAUGAGUUUGAACUUAGAAGGAGACUGGCAUUAUCUAUAGAGGCUGGAUUCAGGAGAAGUACUUCAGCCUCCGAACGGUGACCACCAGGUUCACACCUGGUUCCAGUCUCCACCUGGCCACUGGCUUAAGGAGCCCACCUCAGAAGGCCCCCCCCCUCAACGCCUACCUCCCUGGGGCCCGCUGAGACAUGGGGGGCCUGAGUGCCCCUUCGAGGGUCUCUCAAAGGACCCAAAGCCUCCCGGCCCCAAGCCUCAUUUCUGCGCUCACCUCUGCUCAGAACCAAACCAAGAUCCCAGGCCUGGGUCUUUGGAAGAUGGUGGCUGGAGGCCCCCCCAACCUCCAGGACAGAGAAGGGAUUGGGGGUGAGCUGGGACCGUCAGGGAAGGCGGGUCACCUGGAUCCGACAUUUGGGGGAGGUUCCCUUCAUCCUCUCACCCCUUCCCCCCUUCUCGCUCUCCCUACCUCCCUUCUAUACUGUCUUCUACUUUUUUUUUUAAUG